rnacentral:rRNA from 1 species
CCUACGGGAGGCAGCAGUGAGGAAUAUUGGUCAAUGGACGAGAGUCUGAACCAGCCAAGUAGCGUGAAGGAUGACUGCCCUAUGGGUUGUAAACUUCUUUUAUAAAGGAAUAAAACGAGGCACGUGUGCCUUUUUGCAUGUACUUUAUGAAUAAGGAUCGGCUAACUCCGUGCCAGCAGCCGCGGUAAUACGGAGGAUCCGAGCGUUAUCCGGAUUUAUUGGGUUUAAAGGGAGCGUAGGUGGGUUGUUAAGUCAGUUGUGAAAGUUUGCGGCUCAACCGUAAAAUUGCAAUUGAUACUGGCAUUCUUGAGUACAGUAGAGGUAGGCGGAAUUCGUGGUGGAGCGGUGAAAUGCUUAGAUAUCACGAAGAACCCCGAUUGCGAAGGCAGCUUACUAAACUGUGACUGACAUUGAUGCUCGAAAGUGUGGGUAUCAAACAGGAUUAGAUACCCGAGUAGUC